CCUACGGGUGGCAGCAGUGAGGAAUAUUGGUCAAUGGACGAGAGUCUGAACCAGCCAAGUAGCGUGAAGGAUGACUGCCCUAUGGGUUGUAAACUUCUUUUAUAUGGGAAUAAAACGUUCCACGUGUGGGAUUUUGUAUGUACCAUAUGAAUAAGGAUCGGCUAAAUCCGUGCCAGCAGCCGCGGUAAUACGGAGGAUCCGAGCGUUAUCCGGAUUUAUUGGGUUUAAAGGGAACGUAGGUGGAUUGUUAAGUCAGUUGUGAAAGUUUGCGGCUCAACCGUAAAAUUGCAGUUGAAACUGGCAGUCUUGAGUACAGUAGAGGUGGGUGGAAUUCGUGGUGUAGCGGUGAAAUGCUUAGAUAUCACGAAGAACUCCGAUUGCGAAGGCAGUUCACUGGACUGCAACUGACACUGAGGCUCGAAAGUGUGGGUAUCAAACAGGAUUAGAUACCCCUGUAGUC
rnacentral:rRNA from 1 species